GUGGGGAAUUUUGGACAAUGGGGGCAACCCUGAUCCAGCAAUGCCGCGUGCAGGAAGAAGGCCUUCGGGUUGUAAACUGCUUUUGUACGGAACGAAAAGGCUCUGGUUAAUACCUGGGGCACAUGACGGUACCGUAAGAAUAAGCACCGGCUAACUACGUGCCAGCAGCCGCGGUAAUACGUAGGGUGCAAGCGUUAAUCGGAAUUACUGGGCGUAAAGCGUGCGCAGGCGGUGCUGUAAGACAGGCGUGAAAUCCCCGGGCUUAACCUGGGAAUGGCGCUUGUGACUGCAGUGCUGGAGUGUGGCAGAGGGGGAUGGAAUUCCGCGUGUAGCAGUGAAAUGCGUAGAUAUGCGGAGGAACACCGAUGGCGAAGGCAAUCCCCUGGGCCUGCACUGACGCUCAUGCACGAAAGCGUGGGGAGCAAACAGGAUUAGAAACCCCAGUAGUCC
rnacentral:rRNA from 1 species